GUGAGUAACACGUAAGGAACCCGCCUAUUAGAGAGGAAUACCAGUGAGAAAUCACUGCUAAUACCUCAUAUGCCUUAUUUAUCGCAUGAUAAAAGAGGGAAAGGAGCAAUCCACUAAUAGAUGGCCUUGCGCCUGAUUAACUAGUUGGUGAGAUAAAAGCCCACCAAGGUAACGAUCAGUAGCCGAACUGAGAGGUUGAACGGCCACAUUGGGACUGAGAUACGGCCCAGACUCCUACGGGAGGCAGCAGUCGGGAAUAUUGCGCAAUGGAGGAAACUCUGACGCAGUGACGCCGCGUAUAGGAAGAAGGUUUUCGGAUUGUAAACUAUUGUCGAUAGGGAAGAGAAAAGACUGUACCUAUCAAGAAAGCUCCGGCUAACUACGUGCCAGCAGCCGCGGUAAUACGUAGGGAGCAAGCGUUAUCCGGAAUUAUUGGGUGUAAAGGGUGCGUAGACGGGAUGUCAAGUUAGUUGUGAAAUACCUCGGCUCAACUGGGGAACUGCAACUAAAACUAACAUUCUUGAGUGCAGGAGAGGAAAGUGGAAUUCCUAGUGUAGCGGUGAAAUGCGUAGAUAUUAGGAAGAACAUCGGUGGCGAAGGCGACUUUCUGGACUGUAACUGACGUUGAGGCACGAAAGUGUGGGGAGCAAACAGGAUUAGAUACCCUGGUAGUCCACACUGUAAACGAUGGAUACUAGGUGUAGGGGGUAUUAAGCCUUCUGUGCCGUCGCUAACGCAGUAAGUAUCCCACCUGGGGAGUACGACCGCAAGGUUGCAACUCAAAGGAAUUGACGGA
rnacentral:rRNA from 1 species